ACGUGUUUUCGAGAAAUACGCAUUCAAAGUUUUAGUUAUGUUAUUUUGUCCUACUCCGGAGGCAAAAAAAUCGUUGAUAUUGCAACUGAUAUCGCGGUAUUAGUGUUCAAUGAUGGCCUGAGAUGCCUCAUGAAAGUUCUGGAGACGUUGGGGAUAAUCAUCGACCCAAAUUGUUUCAACUUUUGCGUUAGACCGACGCAGCG